CGAUGAUGCCCUUCGGGGUGGAUUAGUGGCGAACGGGUGAGUAACACGUGAGCAACCUGCCCUUGACUCUGGGAUAAGCCUGGGAAGCUGGGUCUAAUACCGGAUAUUGCCUCCUGCCGCAUGGUGGGGGGUGGAAAGCCUUGUGCGGUCUUGGAUGGGCUCGCGGCCUAUCAGCUUGUUGGUGGGGUGAUGGCCUACCAAGGCGACGACGGGUAGCCGGCCUGAGAGGGUGACCGGCCACACUGGGACUGAGACACGGCCCAGACUCCUACGGGAGGCAGCAGUGGGGAAUAUUGCACAAUGGGCGCAAGCCUGAUGCAGCGACGCCGCGUGGGGGAUGACGGCCUUCGGGUUGUAAACCCCUUUCGGCGGGGAACAAGCCCUUCGGGGUGAGGGUACCCGCGGAAGAAGCGCCGGCUAACUACGUGCCAGCAGCCGCGGUAAUACGUAGGGCGCGAGCGUUAUCCGGAAUUAUUGGGCGUAAAGAGCUCGUAGGCGGUUUGUCGCGUCUGCUGUGAAAGCCCGGGGCUCAACCCCGGGUCUGCAGUGGGUACGGGCAGGCUGGAGUGCAGUAGGGGAGACUGGAAUUCCUGGUGUAGCGGUGAAAUGCGCAGAUAUCAGGAGGAACACCGAUGGCGAAGGCAGGUCUCUGGGCUGUAACUGACGCUGAGGAGCGAAAGCGUGGGGAGCGAACAGGAUUAGAUACCCUGGUAGUCCACGCCGUAAACGUUGGCACUAGUGUGGGGGGGC
rnacentral:rRNA from 1 species